rnacentral:rRNA from 1 species
GAUGAACGCUGGCGGCGUGCCUAAUACAUGCAAGUCGGGCGAGCGGACGAGAAGCUUGCUUCUCUGAUGUUAGCGGCGGACGGGUGAGUAACACGUGGAGAAGCUAACUAUAAGACUGGGAUAACUUCGGGAAACCGGGGCUAAGACCGGAUAAUAUUUUGAACCGCAUGGUUCAAAAGUGAAAGACGGUCUUGCUGUCACUUAAAGAUGGAUCCGCGCUGCAGUAGCUAGUUGGGAAGGUAACGGCUUACAAAGGCAACGAUGCAUAGCCGACCUGGGAGGGUGAUCGUCGACACUGGAAGUGGGUCACCGUCCAGACUCCUACGGGAGGCAGCAGUAGGGAAUUUUCCGCAACGGGCGAAAGCCUGACGGAGCAAUGCCGCGUGAGUUAUGGAGGUCUUCCGAUCGUAAAACUGUGUUAUUAGGGAAGAACAUAUGUGUAAGUAGCUGUGCACAUCUUGACGGUACCUAGUCAGAAAGCAACGGCUAACUACGUG